UGGGGAAUCUUGCGCAAUGGGCGAAAGCCUGACGCAGCGACGCCGCGUGGGUGAUGAAGGCCUUCGGGUUGUAAAGCCCUGUGGAGGGGGAAGAAUAAGGCUUGGCUAAUAUCCAAGUCGAUGACGGUACCCCUUUAGCAAGCACCGGCUAACUCUGUGCCAGCAGCCGCGGUAAGACAGAGGGUGCAAACGUUGUUCGGAAUGACUGGGCGUAAAGCGCGUGUAGGCGGCUCGGCAAGUCGGGUGUGAAAGCCCUGGGCUCAACCCAGGAAGUGCACUCGAAACUGCCGAGCUGGAGUCCCGGAGAGGAAGGCGGAAUUCUCGGUGUAGAGGUGAAAUUCGUAGAUAUCGAGAGGAACACCGGUGGCGAAGGCGGCCUUCUGGACGGCGACUGACGCUGAGACGCGAAAGCGUGGGGAGCAAACAGG
rnacentral:rRNA from 1 species